AAGGCUUUAAGUUAACAAAACUUAUAGCCUUCAAAGCUAUCAAUAAAAGUUCUACUCUUUUAAGCCUUA
rnacentral:tRNA from 2 species